AUAAAUCUUCUUGAAUGUUAUCCAAAGAAAAACUUAUGGCUUUGAGCACAAUUCUUGCUUUCUAGUCAUUCUAAAGCCUUCCCUCUUUUACCAGCCCCAACCAGAAAGAAAUGUUGUCAAUUCAACUUUUGCUCUACAAAAUAUUUCCAGCUUUCUGGAAUCCAAGCAGACAGUGUUGUCAAAGGAUGCCUGUGAUGGGCAUAUUUCAGUGAACUGCUUGUUACUCUGAGCAUCCAAAGCAAUAGACCCCUUCUACUUAAAUCUGGCUUUCGCAAGAAACGUAUUCAGUGUGGCUAACUCAACAUAAUUAUACUGAAAAAAAAGCUUUCAGAAGACUCAGGGCCAUGGCUUCCUUUAUGGAGUCUACCCAUCUGGAAUGUGGUCUUCCUCUUUUCCUACUACCAUUACAUACGAGUGGAUAAAAUGACAGCAGAAAGGAAGCGACAAAACUGCUCCAUCCUCUCUUCAUAUUCAAGAGUUGUUAAGCAUGUCAUUUCUGUUUCCAGAAUCUUGCUCACAAAAUCUCUGGACUGUAAAUGGGAUACCAAACGGAUAGAUCAGUCAACUAGAACUUGAAUUGAUUAAUCCAUCUCCGCAGAUUUAAGUGGAAAGUCUAAACAUUAACAGCAGCUUUUGUUUUUGAGGCUAUUUUGAUUCUGGUGUGUUACUCUCAAAGAGAAUUUCAAAAGAAAAUAUCAAAGAUGACCUUGCCUAUAAACAAUGAGUCAUACUUCUUGUUUAUUAAAGCCUGAGUUUUCAACUUGUUUCCAUCAGUAUUUCAUAAAGUCCAGCCGUUGAGAUUUUAUUCAGAUGUUGUUUAUUUGAAAAUGUUAGUUGGUGGGUAGAUUUAUUAGUCCACUGAAAUGCUUUAAUCAGUUGACAGGUUCAAAUGUUCUAUGUAAAUGUAAAAAUGGCAAUUUGCAUUUCAAGGACACAUAUAUAAAAAAAAUAAUUCACAAAUC